AAUUGAACCGGAGUGGGCUCAUUUUUUAGUGCUUCGUUUGUGCAGACACAGUCUUCACUAUAUUUGCCAGGUCAUCAUAAAGCUCCCACACACAUGGAGCUCUUCGGCAGUAUGCAAUGUAAUGUCCCAGACCAUCUUUAGUCAAGCUUCCCUUGAAAGCGAUGACUCCUCUCAAAGAGAAUGUCUUUCCUUGGAGAGCAACAGUGGGGGGAAAUUCACUCAAAGGAAACUGAGUUGUGUUUGCAAGUGGGCGAAGGCAGGGAGACUCCGGAAGGAAGAGUCCAUUUUCCACUGAAAUGUCAAGCUGAGCCAUGCCACAGUCCAUCAGCACAGAAAUGUCAGGAGAAACAAAUGAUGGAUCUGCAUGGAGCCAUUCAGUGCAGGAAGUGAGAUAAGAAGUUCUCUUCCUUUUUUUGGGUGGAAGAAUUAGUCCCCUCCAGUUUUCAACCACGUCUUCAUCUGUUGGAGGAAUGUUUGUGGUUUCAUCGGAUUCUACAGAUUGAACAAAUCCGCAUAUUUCCUUCUAUAAAGGAAAGAUGAUGAGAAAUAAAACGAUCAACUCGAAUGGGUAAGUUCUCGUGUUUAAAAAGGCCAUGCUUUACAUUUUUGAAUUCUGCUUCAACAGUGGCUGAGCUUGCUGUGAGGUUGGUGCUUUUGAAGAGGGGGACCAUUACUCCUGUCCAAAGUGGUAAGUAACUUGCUAGUCUUAUUAUGUGUGGAACAAUAUCAGGGAGGAAAUGGAUGUUGUCCCUAUCCCCAUUGGCUGCAGCGAGUGACCUGCUCUCCUCGCAUAUGUUUGAUACCCAGCCGCGUAGGUCAGUCUGGAUCUCGUCAAAAGAAUCCACUUGAUGCAUUUCAUUUGGAUCUUCAGCUGGAAUGAUGAUGGAGUCUUCUGUGAUCUGGGCAGUCCCACUGACAGAUCAUCUUUAUGCAGUGUGCCACAUCAACCCUGAUAAAACAAGGAGGAAGUUUUGCAGACUGGUUCCCAAGUAGCAAACGGAAGCAUUCGUUAAUGUAUGUCUUCAGAUCGGGGUAAGGAGUGAAGGCCUUCACCAGAGCACCAAGAAUAGCCAGAGAAAAGUCACUCACGGCUUCCUUUGGUAUAGCAGCACCUGUACGAAGCCAUUCUGUCAGCCAUGUUGCAAUUGCAUUAAUGUCGUGUCUCUCUGACAGCAUUUGCACAACUGGGACUGAGCAGUUGUCCCCUGUCAGAACGCCUUGAUAUAAGAAGAUGUGGCCAGAUGUACCAUUUGGUCUCACCAGUCUUCUCACAACUGAGCCAGUUGCGUCAAAGCAAACUACUGAGGGGCAUUUUUUGGACAAUGCCUUAUACACAUGUAGCUGUGUUUGACUCCAAUAGUGGCAGAAGAACUUGUCUAGACCAAUGUCUCUUAU